UGUCAGGAGACACCAAAGCAGCCUCGCCU
rnacentral:piRNA from 1 species